UGGUAUUUUUGUGGGCUUCGCUGUGGCAAAGCUGUAUUUGUUUUACAGUUUAAUGUAAGAGAGGGAAGAAGUUUGGCUUUGGCAUGCAAGGUCGGUUGAUCGUCUGGCAAAGAAAAUAUUCUGGCAAAGGCCAUCACUUUGAGGGUGGGAAAAGUGAUGAGUCUCAUCAUCCACCCGGACCAGACAUGCGGUGUGCAGGGUCGGACGUGUGCCCUAAAUUUAUGCCUAAUACGAGAUGUCUUAACUAAGGCAAAGGAGCAAAGCCGGCCCUUGGCCUUGCUGAGCCUAGACCAGGAAAAGGCAUUUGACCGGGUUAGCCAUGCUUUCCUUUUUGCUGUGAUCAAGAGGUUGAGUUUUGGGCCAAGGUUUAUAAGGGUGGUGAAGCUGUUGUAUGAGGAGGUGGGUUUGCAUCAACAUCUUUCUGUUGAGGCCGGUGAGGCAGGCGGGUGGGGUGAGACAAGGGUGUCCGCUCUCCCCGCUGCUAUACAUGUUGGCAAUUGAGCCGCUAGUGGCUAGCCUGCAAGCAGACCAAAGACCGGCAGGGUUCCAUGUCCCUGGGGGGGGGAUGCAGAGCCUUAGUCUCGGUUUACGCGGAUGACCUGACUCUCUUUAUAACAAAUGAGGAGUUCCACAGGGCCAGGCCUCAAGCGCUUUGGUGAACUCUGAGAAGUCCAGGGUUAUGUCAUGCAGAUCCUGUCAGGGUACAUCAAGUGCUUGUUGUGGCUACCCAGUAUGCCCGGAUGGAAUAAAGAUCUUAGGCAUUAAUUUCUUCCAUUCAGCCAGCGGCACCAGGAAUCAGGCCAGUGUGCUGAAGGUACAGCAGCGCCUUGCCCUAUGGGAAACCAGAAGGCUGUCAAUCAACGGCUGAACUCUUGUAAUAAAAAUGGACAUCUUGUACAGGCUGAUCCAUAUAGCCAAUGUUUUUCCAUGCCCACUUGUUGGGGGGGCAGGUUAGAAAGAUCAGUCUUUCAUUUUAUCUGGGGAGGGAGGACAGAGCUGGUGCAGAGAGCUGUUAUGUACCUUGGGCCACCUCCCUGUAAGUGAAUGCCUGUAUUGCUUUGGGAGUGUUAGGACACGAAGAGACGGUGGAGCAUGAAUUUUGGAAAUGUCCCUGCAUACAAGUAUUUUGAGGACUAGUGAAGGAGUGGUGGAGAAACUUCCCCAACGUCCCCUUGAAUGAUAACCUGGUAAGGUUUGGGGAGGGAUUGGAAGCCUUGGACCCAGGGCAAUGCAAGAUUGCGUGGUUAGUUGUCUCAGAGGGGAAAGUGGCAGUUUGCAGGUGGAGGGGAAAGUGUUUGCGAGCACAGAAGCCAAGACUGGAGCUGGGCUCCAUUUUCCACAGCUUCCUAGGCAGAAUAAGAUGGUUAGGAGAGAGACAGGAAGCUUGGCGACUGUACGGGGAGAUGUGGAGGAGCCAGUCGG
ensembl:lncRNA